rnacentral:rRNA from 1 species
GGCGGGACACGUGGUAUCCUGUCUGAAUAUGGGGGGACCAUCCUCCAAGGCUAAAUACUCCUGACUGACCGAUAGUGAACCAGUACCGUGAGGGAAAGGCGAAAAGAACCCCGGCGAGGGGAGUGAAAAAGAACCUGAAACCGUGUACGUACAAGCAGUGGGAGCACGCUUAGGCGUGUGACUGCGUACCUUUUGUAUAAUGGGUCAGCGACUUAUAUUCUGUAGCAAGGUUAACCGAAUAGGGGAGCCGAAGGGAAACCGAGUCUUAACUGGGCGUUAAGUUGCAGGGUAUAGACCCGAAACCCGGUGAUCUAGCCAUGGGCAGGUUGAAGGUUGGGUAACACUAACUGGAGGACCGAACCGACUAAUGUUGAAAAAUUAGCGGAUGACUUGUGGCUGGGGGUGAAAGGCCAAUCAAACCGGGAGAUAGCUGGUUCUCCCCGAAAGCUAUUUAGGUAGCGCCUCGUGAAUUCAUCUCCGGGGGUAGAGCACUGUUUCGGCAAGGGGGUCAUCCCGACUUACCAACCCGAUGCAAACUGCGAAUACCGGAGAAUGUUAUCACGGGAGACACACGGCGGGUGCUAACGUCCGUCGUGAAGAGGGAAACAACCCAGACCGCCAGCUAAGGUCCCAAAGUCAUGGUUAAGUGGGAAACGAUGUGGGAAGGCCCAGACAGCCAGGAUGUUGGCUUAGAAGCAGCCAUCAUUUAAAGAAAGCGUAAUAGCUCACUGGUCGAGUCGGCCUGCGCGGAAGAUGUAACGGGGCUAAACCAUGCACCGAAGCUGCGGCAGCGACGCUUAUGCGUUGUUGGGUAGGGGAGCGUUCUGUAAGCCUGUGAAGGUGUGCUGUGAGGCAUGCUGGAGGUAUCAGAAGUGCGAAUGCUGACAUAAGUAACGAUAAAGCGGGUGAAAAGCCCGCUCGCCGGAAGACCAAGGGUUCCUGUCCAACGUUAAUCGGGGCAGGGUGAGUCGACCCCUAAGGCGAGGCCGAAAGGCGUAGUCGAUGGGAAACAGGUUAAUAUUCCUGUACUUGGUGUUACUGCGAAGGGGGGACGGAGAAGGCUAUGUUGGCCGGGCGACGGUUGUCCCGGUUUAAGCGUGUAGGCUGGUUUUCCAGGCAAAUCCGGAAAAUCAAGGCUGAGGCGUGAUGACGAGGCACUACGGUGCUGAAGCAACAAAUGCCCUGCUUCCAGGAAAAGCCUCUAAGCAUCAGGUAACAUCAAAUCGUACCCCAAACCGACACAGGUGGUCAGGUAGAGAAUACCAAGGCGCUUGAGAGAACUCGGGUGAAGGAACUAGGCAAAAUGGUGCCGUAACUUCGGGAGAAGGCACGCUGAUAUGUAGGUGAAGCGACUUGCUCGUGGAGCUGAAAUCAGUCGAAGAUACCAGCUGGCUGCAACUGUUUAUUAAAAACACAGCACUGUGCAAACACGAAAGUGGACGUAUACGGUGUGACGCCUGCCCGGUGC